UCGGGAAUAUUGCGCAAUGGAGGAAACUCUGACGCAGUGACGCCGCGUGCAGGAAGAAGGUUUUCGGAUUGUAAACUGCUUUAGACAGGGAAGAAAAAGGACAGUGCCUGUAGAAUAAGCUCCGGCUAACUACGUGCCAGCAGCCGCGGUAAUACGUAGGGAGCAAGCGUUAUCCGGAUUUAUUGGGUGUAAAGGGUGCGUAGACGGGAAGUCAAGUUAGUUGUGAAAUCCCUCGGCUCAACUGAGGAACUGCAACUAAAACUAACUUUCUUGAGUGCUGGAGAGGAAAGUGGAAUUCCUAGUGUAGCGGUGAAACUGCGUAGAUAUAAGGAGGAACACCAGUGGCGAAGGCGACUUUCUGGACAGUAACUGACGUUGAGGCACGAAAGUGUGGGGAGCAAACAGGAUUAGAUACC
rnacentral:rRNA from 1 species